GUCGAACGAGCCCUUCGGGGUUAGUGGCGCACGGGUGCGUAACGCGUGGGAAUCUGCCCUUGGGUUCGGAAUAACGUCUGGAAACGGACGCUAAUACCGGAUGAUGACGAAAGUCCAAAGAUUUAUCGCCCAGGGAUGAGCCCGCGUAGGAUUAGCUAGUUGGUGAGGUAAAGGCUCACCAAGGCGACGAUCCGUAACUGGUCUGAGAGGAUGAUCAGUCACACUGGAACUGAGACACGGUCCAGACUCCUACGGGAGGCAGCAGUGGGGAAUAUUGGACAAUGGGCGAAAGCCUGAUCCAGCCAUGCCGCGUGUGUGAAGAAGGUCUUCGGAUUGUAAAGCACUUUAAGUUGGGAGGAAGGGCAGUAAGUUAAUACCUUGCUGUUUUGACGUUACCAACAGAAUAAGCACCGGCUAACUUCGUGCCAGCAGCCGCGGUAAUACGAAGGGUGCAAGCGUUAAUCGGAAUUACUGGGCGUAAAGCGCGCGUAGGUGGUUUGGUAAGAUGGAUGUGAAAUCCCCGGGGCUCACCUGGGAACUGCAUCCAUAACUGCCUGACUAAAGUACGGUAGAGGGUGGUG
rnacentral:rRNA from 1 species